UACCUGCCUCUAAUGGGUUCCUCAGUCCACACGCACCUGCCACUAACGGGUUCCUCGCUCCAUACACACCUACUGCUAAACGGUUCCUUGCUCCACACAUACCUGCCUCUAGUGGGUCCUCAGGCCACACGCACCAGCAGCAAAAGGGUUUUUCGCUCCACAUGCACCUGCCGCUAACAGGUCCUAUCUUAUCAUCCUUUGGCUAGUGCCUUUCAAGCUGCAGGAAGGCGAGGUGCGGAUCAUCUCCCUAAACCAGUGCCAGUCUUACUUUGACAUGAAGACCAUCACGUCCCGCAUGCUGUGUGCCGGGUAUGAGUCAGGAACUGUCGACUCUUGCAUGGGAGACAGCGGAGGUCCUCUGGUCUGUCAGGAAGUGGACGGUCGCUGGAGUCUCUAUGGCCUGACUUCCUGGGGGUCAGUUUGCUUUUCAAAAGUCCUGGGACCUGGAGUCUACAGUAACGUAACCCACUUUGUGGAGUGGAUUGAGAGACAGAUUUAUCUGCACACCUUCCUCAUUGAUUAAGCCCUAGUGGAAGCACUUUCGGCUAAAGAUGGAAGGCAGAACCCUGAAGAGGGAGUAAUGUUGAGACUGAGCACUAAUUAAUCAUGGUCACUUGUGCAGGGAUCUGAAGGUGUCCCUGUUGUCAGUGUGCUCAAUGAUCAUUCCAAGAUGUGCUCAGAAAUCCCAAAACCAAAUGGAGGAAAGUAUGACUUUAAAUCUGAGCCAUUUUACAGUUUAAUCAGCUUUUGGAAGUAACAAUCGCUAUAUUCCAUUGUUGAAGAUGCUAAGUCCUGCACAUCUUGGAAAGCAGCUGGUGAACUGUUCCUCGUGAUGGAUUCUGACCCGUACAACUAGACCGUUAAAUGAUGGGCUGAUUUUCCAGAAUGGAAGAUGUCUUUAAAAGAAGAUAGGAAGGAAGCACAAACAGACAAGUACUAUGAGGUGUGCAUCAAAUAAUAUAAACUGCUGUUCACAAUGACAGCCAAUAAACCAACUUUUUGCCAGAUCAGGAAGACUGUUAGGUCCUUUUAAAUGUUGUUUGGCUGUUGUCCAAAAUUACAGAGACCUACUAUCAGCAGUAGUUUAGAUUAUAUAACUUCAAUAAAAGUGCUUUGCUCCUGCUAUGCAGUUAUAUGUGAAUAUAAUGGUUUAUAGGAUCUGUAGUCACUGCCACUAUUUUUCAUUUGUAUUGUUGCAGCGCAUGUGUGUAUGUAUGUGUGUAUAUAUAUACACACUCUAUGUUCUCCUGUAACAUGUUCCUGAGAAACCUCGUGAUGAACAAAUUCAUGCUAUCGAAUCCACAGGUACCAUGGGGUUGGGGCAGAACUCUCCAUCCAUUCACCUUUUGUAAUCGCUUGUUCAAUUCAGGGUCACCGGGGGUCCGGAGCCUAAACCGGAGGCCUUAGGUACAAGGCAGGGAGCAGCCCAGCAUGGCGCACCUGCAAAACACUCAAAAACCUGAAAAUAACAAUAGCACAGUUUUAUAAAUACUAAGUAGCUAAUAAAUGGGUAAAUCCUACAAUAAAUAUGGCACUUUACCUUGAAGUCGAUUCCUUCAUACCUGUUGCUUUUGUAAUGUUUUGUCCCCCCAUUCCAUUCAAAACGCUUUAACAUUUCAAGCUUUUCCUCAAUAACAUUAGCUUGCCACUGACUGACUGCUCGGCUACUUGGAACCAGGAUGCUUAGAUGUGUUUUGGGUUUUGUUUCUGUUUAAAGUUAUGAAAUGUGGAUGAACAGCAGAGCAAACACUUGUAGUUUAAGACACACAGUGAACUGAUGCAGUAAUUGGCCAUUUCUGGUGUUGGCAUUUUCUGCGUUUACUUGGUGCCUGUAUCAUGCAGCGAGAUUUGUUUGUUAGCUACAUAACACGUCGGAUUUAAGGUAGUCUGGGCUAAAUGUAAGUGAAAGUGAACGAAGAUAAAGUCCAUUUAAACCUUAAAUCUGACAAGUUAUCUAGCUAACCAACAAAUCUUGCUUUGUGAUACAAGCCUCGAGUAUUUUUUUGCAGAUGAAACUGCACAUAAAAAAACACAAACAAAGCGCUAUACUGUAAAUGUUUCCUAAUAUAUCGAUUGCUCUGGAGUAAAUUAGUAUUUUCAAAUCAUGCUUUAUAGGAGACCAUACUGUGUAGCUAUGUCUUUGUAAACAGUUAAAUAAAUAAAUUGUGUUGAUAUUCGUUUUUUAUAUUUUCAAAUGGUAGAUGAUGGUAAAUGCCUGCCUAUAUAUUAAACUAAUAGUGUUUUAAAAACCAUUCCUUGAAAAAUCAUAUACAUGUGCAGCAUUAAUUUCUCUUCUCCGAUGGAGUAGCGUGAUGUGUUUGGAAGGACUGUCUAACUAAAGGCCUUUUCUAACUAACUGCGUCUAUUUCUAAUGACACAUUUAUUACUGGCUACUGCAGACACGAUUGUGACAUAAACAACAAAUUCAACCCCCUAAUUUCUCUCAUUUUUAUCAUGCAUUCUUGGGAUUUGGGCCUGUGCAAAAGGCAUUUCUCUCCCAGAAACAUAACAUUGAUUACAUACAUACAAGCACUCUAAACAGGUCAACAAUAUUAGGUUAAUUGGAGCUUCAGCAAAGUCUCUCCUUUAUAAAUAUGUGAAGUGACUAUAUUAACAUGUAAAGGCCUUGGAAUCUGCUGGCUUCAGUUUGAAUUUUGUAUGUUUAGUCACAAAUACUAUGUAUACUAAAAUAUUUAAAACAUUCUAGCGAAAAAUUUGCUACACUAUGCAAAUGGUAAUCAUGAAAGAUAAUAAUAAUAAUAAAUAAAUGCUGUUACUAACAGGUAGUAAACAUUUUAGCUGGUGAAGUAUUUUAGAUUUUCUUCCAGAUUCUAGAUUCGUACCGAUGCUUUGUGAAUCUGAAACGCGUGGAUGACUUAUGCCAAAGUCAAAAACCUUUUUAUUAUUAUUUUUAUGUGUAUAUGUGCUUGUGUGAAAAUGCUCCACUCUGAAAGAGACAGAUGCAGAGAUGUUGAUGCUAUUAGAAUGUGUGUAUUUUGUAUGUUCAUGUAUUUGUCUGUGUUCAUGUAGAUGUGCGCCUGAUUGUGUGUUUGUAUCUGUCAGUAGGUAUCUAUCUAUGUGCAUAGAUUUAUGCUUAAAUGUUUCAAUGUAACAUUCCACUUAAAGACAUGUUGUUUGUAUUUAUUUUUUUUUUGUUUUGAAUAUUUUUCUACUGCUUUUGUAUGUGUUCUCAUGAAAAUGUUCUUGGUCCCCAAACCUAACUUUCAAAUUUUAGAAUUCUUUUCAAGUGUAAAUGACUUGAAAAUGGAAUAUUUGCAUUUACAGAGGACAUAACAAACUUAUUAUUUAUAUCUUAACAAUAAACUUUGUGAACACAAA